rnacentral:lncRNA from 1 species
GUUUUCUGAAUAACUCUAAAAGGGGAAACUUGUGAGAAUUCUACCCACCAGAGAUGCAGUCGAUGGGCAGGAGAGAUGGCCCAGUCAGUGAAGUGUUGCUACACAAACAUGAAGACCUGAGUUUGGAUCCCCAGAACCCAUAUAAAGUCUUGGCAUAGCAGCAGGCACAGCAGCAGGCACAGCAGCAGGCACAGCAGCAGGCACCUGAGAUCCCAGUGCUGGCAAGAUCCCUGGGGCUUGCAAGCAGCUUAGAUGCAUUCGUGAGCUUCAGGUUCACUAAUAGACCCUGUCUCUAAAGAGAUGGAGAUCAAUUGAGGAAGACUUCCAAUAGUGACUGCUGACCUAGUGUAUGUGCUCAUUUAAUGCCUGCCUCCACAACAACAACAACAACAACAACAUACACACACACCUAAAUAAAUAAAUAUUCUUGUAUUUGGAACCAGUAGAGGGCAGAAACCCCUUGUCGUUGGAAAGUGUUGCUCAGACUACUGGCAAGUCACAUUCUGGUGUCUUUGGCUCUUGGCAUCUGGACCAAUAGACACCCUUAAAGAGAACAGCUAAGUCUCCUGACUUAAUCAGCAUGUAGAAGUCCAAGUAGCCUUUCUGAAAUGAGGUAGCAAAGGACACAGAACAGUCACUCAAAUUACAGUGGAAAAAUUUAAAAAAAAAACCUAACUUUAAAUUAUUUCUGAGGAAGAACCCAA